ensembl:lncRNA
CUCGCUCAGGUUCUCUAACAGAUGCUUCCAGAGAGAAAGAGAGAGCUUUUCCUCUUCUCUUCUCUCCUGUCCUUUUUUUAGCUCCGUGCACAGCAAGUGAGUGUGUGAGCGGCAUUAAUCGGACUAAUUAGGCACCCUAGUUAGCUGUGGUGGCUUUUGACACAGGAGGAGAAGGGCCAUGACUCCCCCCCCCACCCACUCUCCCCCCACCCCCGAGAAAGCUCAUUUUUUUUUAUCACCUCUCUCUCUCUUUCUCUCUCUCUCUCAGACACAAACACACACACACACUUGGGGAGGUGGGCGGAGGAUGCAGGGGCAGCCAUGAUGCACGGUGGGGGGAGCGCUGCAGAGAGAGAGAGAGCGAGAGAGAGAGAGAGAGAGAGAGAGAGAGAGAGAGAGAGAGAGAGAGAGAGAUAGAGGAGGGGGGCGGCAGGGAGAGAGAGAGAGAGAGAGAGAGAGAGAGAUACGCAAGCCCAGUACACUCUGACAUUAACACACCCAGAGGAAGCAGCAGUACAAACGAGGAGAGAGGAAAGGAAUAUCCUCAUCCAUCAGGCAAGAUGCUGUGGAGAAUAAACUAACACAGACAGCAGUGGAGGCGGCCGGCGCUGAUGGCAGCUCUUUUCUGGAUCUCCCUCAUCCUCAUUUCCACCCUCCUCCUCCUCCUCCUCCUCCUCCUUCCUCCUCUUCUCCUGUUGCUCUCGUCCUCGCUCGGCUGAGCUCAGAUGGAGCUGCUGAGAAAGGAAGGCACGCUGCAUGUCUGUUUCCAAAUCCCACGCCGUCUCCGUGUAGAGUCUCGUCUCACUCUCCAGAUACUUUCGCUAAAGUACAGCGCGAAUGUAGAUGAGACACUUCUGACUAAUCCUAAUGCUAGUGCUGCUCCCUGCGCAAAAAUCUCAUCUCUAAAUGCCCCAAAUACAAUCAUCAACCACAUUAACAAAUAUGCACAUACUGUACAUCAACUCUACAUUUUUUCAUUAAAAAUACAUACAAUAAUUCCAUUUUUUACAGACAAUUUAUAUAAGAGAUGUCUGACAUUUUUAAACAGUUAUAUUUUCUAUUUUAAUAUAUGUUAGAAUUAUUGGCACCCUUAUGAGACAGUGGGUAAAAACAAUUGCAUAAGAUUUCAAUACACAGAGAUUCAGUAUACACAAUUAUUUUCCCAGUUUCUACUCUUUAUUUAUUUAUCUUUUUAAAUAAAUUUUAACAUAUCACCUGACAUGAAUCUAUUUAACACGGUGUGUUUAAUGUGCAGCUGUCAGUAUUUCCACGCAGCCCUGAUCAUGCUUGAGUAAAUGUGCAUGAGCUUGAAAAACUGUAAGUAAAC